rnacentral:rRNA from 1 species
AUGGGGAGAUCCCGGCGCCUGCUGCUGGUGGCGGGCCUGCUCGCGACGGUCGUCGCCGCCGUCGGGCCGCAGCCGGGGGCGCCGUGCGAGCCGACUCUGCUCGCGGCGCAGGUGGCGCUCUUCUGCGCGCCCGGCGUGCCCACCGCGCAGUGCUGCGACUCCGUCGACCUCGGCGUCCCCUGCCUCUGCCGCGUCGCCGCGGAGCCGCAGCUCGUCACGGCGGGCCUCAACGCCACCCACCUCCUCACGCUCUACAGCUCCUGCGGCGGCCUCCGCCCCGGCGGCGCCCACCUCGCCGCCGCCUGCGAAGGACCCGCUCCCCCGGCCGCCGUCGUCAGCAGCCUCCGGCCACCCGCGCCGGCCUCGCCUGCCCCACGACGCACGCAGACAGCGCACGACGCCCCACCGCCGCCGCAGUCGAGCGAGAAGCCGUCGUCCCCACCGCCGGCCCAGGAGCACGCCGGCGCCGCCCCCCAUGCCAAGGUCGCCCCCGCCCAGCCGUCUACUUCCCCGCUCGCGCCCGCUGCUGCCACUGCCCCGCCGCCCCUGCCACGGCACUCCGCCGCGGCGGCGUCCAAGGCGGCCUUCAUCUUCGUCGCCACAGCCAUGCGUAUGAACCUCCUCCCCCUAUCUCUACUCCAUUGGUCUGUCGUCGAGAAUGCUAAUGUCGGUGCAAAACUUGUACGCGUCUUGCAGUUUGUGUUUGCUCGGACAAACUCGCGUUUUAGUUCAUCUCCAUUCGCUACGUUGUGCUAG